GCGGGUGUAGCUCAAUGGCAGAGCUCCAGCCUUCCAAGCUGGCUACGCGGGUCCGAUUCCCGUCACCCGCUCCA
rnacentral:tRNA from 1 species